rnacentral:lncRNA from 1 species
AAGAACGUGUGAAGCACACUGAAUGAUGAUAAACAUAACUGCAAACAAUAACCAUGCAAAGGCAAAGAAGACCCAAGCCCAACACAUUCUCUGUGUACUACCUAUGCUCACUUGCUGGUGCCAAACCAGAGCAGCAGAAGCAGACUGUGAAACUCAGUGAUGCUACUGCCAUCUCCAGCUGUCCUCCUCUCAUGCUCCCCCACAGGCAGCUAGCUUGGAUAGUGGUGAGUGUUAGCAAUGGAAGUUUGUAGACCAUUUAGACUCAGGAGGGUUGACUGUGUUUUUCUUUUUUUUUUUUUUUUUGCAAAUUUAAAUACUAGGUCCUUCUUUGGGUAUAUAUGUAUACCAUAUGUGCUUUUGUACUGAACGGUGUCGGCACCCUGGAAAAGACUGGGUCCCUUAGCAAAUCUGGAUCCUUUUGCCUUGAUCAAUGGGAGAGACAUUUUCAAGUGACAUUUGAAGGAAACAUUUGCAGACUGGUCAAAGGACAC